rnacentral:lncRNA from 1 species
GGCUGCUUUAAAGCAAGAACCUCCCUUCUCCAUCUCCCAGGUCUGGAAAAGUUGUUCAGGGCUCUACUAAUUCUCUGAGGCCUUCAAACCCACUACCUUUGGUGAGUUUAGCAGAAACAACUGCUCUGAAUCCAGUAUCAUGCUAACAAGUAUAUCAGUGAUCUAAUAUAAGUGAUUCUCUCAGAUCACACACCUUCUUUUCCUGGGACUAGCUGAUGUUUUCCACCUCAACCUUGUCUUUGUUCUAUAGCUUGUCUUUUUAGCCUCUGCCCACAUUGCCCCAGCUACACAAAUGCCAAGCAUACUUGGUGCAUUAGAUUUUUCUCCUCCGUUUGUUUUUCUGGAUGAGUUCCAAAUUUUGGACUCAAUUUGAGUGGAGUUGGACUGUUCUCUAAUAUCACCAAGAGGGAGGUUCCUCUGCAAUUGCAGCACUUAGGGUGGCUUUGUAUAAAUUUUGGCUUGUUCACAAAACACCAGGAUAGAAAAACACUGAUUGAAGUUUGGCCUGCAGGCUAAGUAUAUAUCCCCAUUGGUAGCCAUUAAAAUUCAAUGCCUAUGUUUUUACUAAAUUUGCUGGGAUCUGCUUAAUGUGAUAUAAUUCCAUAUCAAAUGUAGCUAAGACCAGAACUACUGUAUACUUUAAUUGGCAGUUAGUUUACAUUGUUUAGCCCUCAUUUCAUAUUACCUUUAGUUUUUUUUAAUUGAUUAAUGGCACUUUGAAAUUUUGGAUUGUGUUUUUCCCGCUCAUCCCUUAUACGGAUUUCUAAUAGACUUGCUUUGAGCAGUGGGUUCCUGUGUGGUACAGGUUAUCACCAUAAGAAAUCAGAGUACUGGAAAGAAAAUUAAGUCACCAAAUAAGGUCAAAUUUGGAUUUGGCAGCUUUGAUUUAGUACCCUUUCAGUUUUGGGGCCCACCUGUGAGUGAACUGAGGAGGAAGUGGUAGUACUUAGUACAGAGUCUUCAGGUCUGGUUCCAGAAUCUAGAGAGCAAUCCCUUAUCUCUGACAAAUUGGCCGAACAAAAGAAGAGGUCUUCAUGAGGAUCCUAAGCAUUAGAGAAUGGUUAUUUGACCUAAGACUGGCUGAACUAUCCACAGAAAGAAGAUCAUGAAAACUCAACUCCUUUCCUGCAUUAAAAAAAAAAAAAAAAAGUCUUGGGGUUUUUGUUUUGUUUUUUGUUUUUGUUUUAAUUAGAGAGCUAAAAAGGGGAGGAAGUGAAAAAGGGAACAAUAGAUGGUGAGAUUAAAGCAAAUCUGGGAUUCUGGUUCCAUUAAAUAUGAAGUUUCUUCCAAAAAAUGGAAUGCUUAUAGCAAUGCCAAGAAUUUCAUAGGUCCUUAGUGGUAUAUAAGGAGAGAAGAUUUUUCUAAGUUGAUUUGUGGAGACUAAGUACUUUAUAUAAUGCGAUAUUAAUUUACUUACAAACACUUGACACACCUAUGAAUUAGCCAAGCAUUAGUAUUUCAAUUUCCUAAUGAGGGAAAUAAAGCACGCAGAUGCAAUACCUUGCUGAAGGCACAAGUACAGAAGGCUGGGCUAGAAUUAUUUUUGACUCCCAAUAAUUUUCAGUUACCAGAUUACCACGCUCUUAAAAAUUUUAUCUUCUCAGGAUAUAAACUUUUUGUUUAUUGGUUAAAGAUAUCCUGAAAAAAAAUCUAUAUCCAUUCUAUUAUUUACUUGGCUUUCACUGAAGUUCUCAAGCUGUUUUACAUUAGGUUGUAUUUUAAGUCCCUGGAAACAAGAGACAGAGGCUGACUUAGAAGGAGAAGACAAAAGAAAGUAAACAAACCAAAAAAACCUACACCAAACCAAAAAACAAAGCCAAAAACCACCAGAGAGAGAAGAUGGAACUGGUACUAUAUGACCUCAGAUUUUUGGCUCAAAUAUAUUGUUUGAUAGAAAUUAAUUAGAAGGUGAUUCAGAAACACUGCACACAUUUAUCCUUCAUUGCUAUUCUAGGGUUGGUCUGUUACAAAAAAAAAAAAAAUCCAAACAAAAAGAUCCCAAAGAAAAAUAAACAUAGAUCCCCUUACCAUUUUUUUAAAGUUGGAUCUGCUCAACUCUUUCGCACCCCCCAGAAAUAAGAAUUCAAACUUCAAUAAUGUAUUUACAUAGUAGCAUGGCUUAUUAUAAAAUCUUUUUGCAUUUAUAAGGUCAAGAUGCUAGUGGCCCCUUCCACCCCCCAUUUUUAGCAUGAGGGAAGGGAUCAGAAGAAGACUACAAAAAUAGAAGGGCAGUUUGGAGGUACCCUAGCCUUCCAUAUGCCUCUGCUAGGAGUCUCAUUCAGAUUGGCUUGAGUUUUGUUAAGGGAAGCUUUCCAGGCCCUUUGGAUAGGUUGGGACAAUCUAUGAACCUGUUGUCUUUGGCUUAUCUUUCUCUGGGAUGCCUAAGCCUCAGAGGGUCAAAGCAGAAAGGAUUUAAGGGAAGAAAAAGACAGCCAUCAGAAACCAAGAUGUUUUUUUUCUGCUCCUAGUCUUCUGUCCCCUCCAAGUGGUACAUCUGCGUUCUUCUGGCUGAAUGAGUGACAGCACAUGAUGCCUAACGGAUCAUGCCAGCAGUCUUUAGCUGAGCUCAGGGUUACAGAGCCAGAGAAGCCAUCAGAUGGGGCUCUGCUGGGGUAAAUGGCUACAGUAUACAGUUUUAACCAAAGAAAAAACAAGUCAGAGCUGCAGAUAUAGGCAGCACUCAUAACAUGGGAUCUCUUCUGAUCCUACCAUGCCAAGGUUAGGUCCUAAGUCCUGAGUUAAUUCUGUUUGGCUUUUGUAAAAAUAAGAGUUUCAACAUGGAGAUCUAUUUAUUCAAAACUAGACCUGGUUCCUUAUGGGGUUCUUGUCUGGAAUUAAACCAUCACACUCUGGCCACUUUCAGGGGGCCCACUUCUCUUUUUUCUUGACUUAUAAAGUCUUACCUGAAUCUCUUGGACAGUGUUCAGUGCCAGGGAAUUCAGGUAGGAAAAAUGGACAGGAUGCAAGAAUCUGCUGAGGAAGGAGCUACCCCAACGCAUGGAAAUGCCUCUCCUCACCAUGAUUCUUUGUGCACACUGGCAGCAGGCCUUUGAGGGUCUCAAACUUAACAGAUAUGAAACUGAUAGCGAUAGGGUGAAAAUUCCCUAACCUUCAUGUCUUACAAAAUCCCAGCAAAGUAGAUGACUAUCUGCUCCCUGGCUCCUACACAUGUACCUUUUCUUAUUCCGAUCUCAUAAUAUUUAUUAUAGCUAGGUUGAGAAAUUAAAGCAUCUCAACCUAUCCCUGGCUCAACCCACUAAAUAAAUACCCUGUCCAAAAACGAGACAUCCAGAGCAGGCUUUAGAAAGAGGAUGUAAUGAAAAAUUGAGAACGUUCUUUAAAAAAACAAAAUAAUUAAAUUUUUGUUCCAUUAUGCCAGGAGAGACCUAAUUUCCCUGAAGUGGGCUUUCAUUGAGUAUGCAGACAUUCCAUAUCCCCCACUCACCCCAAUAGUACCAUACCUUAUACUGUUUCAGAUCACCUUGUGAAUAUUACCUGGUGAAUUCCCAACUACUUUUAUGAGAAUGAUGCAUUCCCCACCAGCAGAGGCAGGCAGGUCAGCAAAUAAGCUUGGACUGGGUGGAUUUAAAAUAUCUCAGGAGCUGGGUCAAUGAGAACAUGCAGCAAAACAAGGGCUGGGAGGGGAGCACAGAAAGCAGGAGACACUGAGGCUCUAGGAGAGAUGGAAGCGUGUAUGGAAAGAAAACACUGGCUGAAUGGUGGGAUGUGGGAUCGUCUUCUUUGUGGUCCCAGGAUCAAAACAGGGCAGAACCCAGAACAUCUGGAUUUCAGCUUCGGAAAAAUGUUACCUGAUUUUAGUACCCCGUAGGGAUGCUGAGUGGGGAGAAGUGAAGCCCAGAAUAGAAAUAGAUUCCUCAGCCAGAAGAGUGGACAGACUGCCAUUGGGCAGUCAUGUUCAUGGCUUGUGUUGACAUGGGGUGGGGGUGGGGGGAUGCUCAUCUCUUCACAGUGUAGGCAACUCUAUCCUGACCCUGGCUCACAGAGCAUCUUGGCCCAGAGCUCUACCCCUAUGUCUGAAAGCCUGCUGGCAUUCUGCCCUCCUGGGGAUCGAAAGAGGGAGACACGUGAGUACCCCACCGGAAGUCUGUCUGGAAGUGAAGAGAGGAGUAUCUAAACACAGCCCAGUUAGAAUGUCUCUCUACCUUGGUUUGUUUUCCUUUUCCUCCGCCUCUCUUUUCCCCCAUCCCUCCCUCUUUGUUUUUAGGGGAUGCCAAAGGCUGACAUUAGCAAGGGAAACUGGACACAGAGCCAAACAUUCCUCUGAAGGGACCUGAGUAUCUCAAACUGUUUCCACUUUGCUCCACAUUUCUUGAGAUGCGGCCAUACUUUUUAGUCCAAAUAGCAGCACACAUUUUGAGAUCUCAAGGGGCCUCUUUUCAAGGGAGAAAGAGGCAGAAUCUGACACGUAGGAAAGGAUGUCCUGCUCAGCUAUCAGAGGGAAGGUGAGAGGUCACAUUUGUGAAGAGGUGGGAGGAAGCGGUCAGAAGAAGAUCAUGAUAAUGAGUUCCGUGACUUAACAGAAAACGGUCUUUUAUUUUCUGGUCUUACUAGAAAGGUAAAUGUAGGCUAAGGGAUAAGAAACGCAAUUUCUUGGUCAGGGGAAAUUGAAUCACAGAGUUCAUAAGUUCACUAGUUCUAACAAGACCCCGACUGGCCGGGGGAAAUGCAUCUGCAGUGCUUCACACCACUUCAUUCACGGCUCAAGUGCUUCUGUGUAUGUGAGUGUAAGGAGUUCAGGUGUCCAGGAAGGUUUCCCGGCACAGUAAAUUUAGUGUUCAUAAUGUGGUUUACAGGCAAAUCCCAUUUCUGGUAAUUGCUCUGCCAGGCUAAAUUCCUCCUACUGUUGAAAUGGCCUAAGAUAUCACUUCAAUUCCUUUUCUCCCAACACAAUGCAAUAGACUUGCUGACUCAGAAUGGCGGUCCUGUGGUAGGCCUGUCCCUAGGGAAAGCUGCAUUUCUGAGGUGGAAGAAAGCAAUUUUGUGUGCAGAAAGCAGCCCACUGCAGCACUUUGGCAUGAAAUGACGCUGAGCAGAGGAAACCUUUAGCACAAUACCAGGCCCAGCGUCUGAGUCUUAUGUAAAGAGCACACCUGUGAGGAUCAGGGUGUGACACACUCGCGUUCACAUUGCCGGCCACUCCGGAGCGUGCAAGUGCUGAGUGGGAGAGGAAAGUGAGAACAGACACACGGUCUGAGAGGAGGAGGCUUUUGUUCUGACUCAGUGGCCUCCUGCCCUGGGACUACUUUGAUUUGGCGGCUGUGGGUCAUGAAGCUCCGUCAGUAUCUAAAAGAGAAGGCAGGGCCAUGAAAUGAUUCUGCAGCCACACAGUUGUAUUUGGCUUUUCAGGGUUGAUGCAACUUAGUUCUAUUUCAACCAAAACAAACAGAAAAAUUUCAUAAGUAAAAAGAGGCUCCUUCUAAGAAAAAUAACAGCCACUAACUUCUCCAACCCAAGAGGUGGAGUCUGUCUUGGCUGGAGGAGGAUAAAAAGAGUGUCUAGCCACUGUGACCUCAGGCCGGGGGAGGGUCCUAUGAGGCAAGCUCCACCUGCUCCUGGCUGAGAAGGGAAAGCCCUGCCUGGAAUCCUUCUCCAGGAGGUCCCUCUGGCCACUGUGAGACCGGGGAGGAAGUUGAGGGAAUGGUACAUCUCCACCAGAGACAGAGUGACGUGUUUCCCUGGAUGGACAAUCUAUACAAGAUGAGCACUGAUUAGCCAAGAAAGGCUCUCUUUUCCUCAAUGCUUCUGAGUUUAGGGGGUUAAGAAUGGCACAGUGGCCUGAGGCUGUCUGCUGUCCAGCUCUUACUCUGGGGAGAGGAAAAGCCCCGUCCUAGCUCCAGAAAAUAUUCAGGGCCAUGGGGACCCUCAUCUCAUUACACUGUGUGAUGAGACCCCAUCAGAGCCUACUUGGCUAGGAGGAGCCGCCCAGGUCUCAGCUGAGGUAUAUUUACCAAUUACCUUCAAAGUAUCAGGACAAACUGACCCUCACACACCAACUGGCUGUGGAAGGGGCCCUCCUCCCAGGAGGUCCUCAGUAAACUCAGACGGAUUCUCUCAUGGAAGCUUCUCAUUUCAGUCUGCCUGCCUUUCCUCUCUAGAAGCCUCUACUAGGUGAUGUAUGGCCCACCCUGGGUAUGUGUGUGCUACCUUCUCAGGAAGUGGCAGGGAAGACUGAGCCUCUGGCUCGUGGCCUUGCUGCUUGGCAGAAAGGGCCACUACCUCCUGGACCACAGUCUAGGUUGACAUUCGGCCAUAUGUGCUGUUCCACAUUCUUCUAUACUGGUUGGAAAACAGACUUUGCCUCAAUUAUACUCUCCACCCCCAACACUUACCCCACCCUCGAGGGAUCCCUUUGGACCAGCGUUUGCAGAGCUAAGGCCUGGCAGAGCACUGGGCUCCAGCAGGAAGGCUGGACUGCUGCUCACGCCAGCUUGUGCUCUGGCCACGGGGGAUGUUAAAUGCUUUUAAAAUAUCACCCUUCCUGGAGCCUUAGGCACCUCGGUGGAGCCUGAGGGACCUCCCUGGCCUAUCCUAACACAGCACCUACUGAGUAGGCCUCAGGCUUCAAAGAGACAGGACUGUCCCUCCCAGCACCACCCAUCCUCUCCAGCUCUUGGAGCCUUUCCCCGUGGUCUGGGCUGCAGGACUAUGGCUUUGCUCACCCAGACCAG